GUGCUUGCUUAGACAGCACCUAUACUAAAAUUGGAAUGAUACAGAGGAAAUUAGUAUGGCCCCUGUGCAAGGAUGACACACAAAUUCAUGAAGUAUUCCAUAUUUUU